CAGCCGCCACGGGAAUACGUAGGUGGCAAGCGUUGUCCGGAAUUAUUGAGCGUAAAGGGCUCGCAGGCGGUUUCUUAAGUCUGAUGUGAAAGCCCCCGGCUCAACCGGGGAGGGUCAUUGGAAACUGGGAAACUUGAGUGCAGAAGAGGAGAGUGGAAUCCCAUGUGUAGCGGUGAAAUGCGUAGAUAUAUGGAGGAACACCGGUGGCGAAAGCGGCUCUCUGGUCUGUAACUGACGCUGAGGCUCGAAAGCGUGGGGAGCAAACAGGAUUAGAUACCCCCGUAGUCCCUGUCUCUUAUAC
rnacentral:rRNA from 1 species